CGAGUACGAGACGCUAAGGCGUCGAAGUAGUGUAUGUCAGACUUCCAAGAAAAGCCCGCAAUGUCAUAUGAUAAAAAAUGCCUGUACCAUAACCGACACAGGUGGGUAGGUAGAGUAUACUAAGGGGCGCGAGAUAACUCUCUCUAAGGAACUCGGCAAAAUAACUCCGUAACUUCGGGAGAAGGAGUGCCUUAUUCUAUAAGGUUGCAAUAACAAGAUCCAAGCAACUGUUUAUCAAAAACACAGGUCUCCGCUAAGUCGUAAGACGAUGUAUGGGGGCUGACGCCUGCCCAGUGCCAGAAGGUUAAAGAAGUCGGUUAGCAUUAGCGAAGCUGGUAACUGAAGCCCUGGUGAACGGCGGCCGUAACAAUAACGGUCCUAAGGUAGCGAAAUUCCUUGUCGGGUAAGUUCCGACCCGCACGAAAGGCGUAAUGAUUUGGAUACUGUCUCGGAGAGGGGCUCGGUGAAAUAGACUUGUCUGCGAAGAUGCGGACUACCUGCACCAGGACAGAAAGACCCUAUGAAGCUUUACUGUAACUUGAAAUUGAAAUUGGACUUUAUUCGCGCAGUAUAGGUGGGAGGCGUUGAUUAUAAUCUUGCGGGAUUAUUGGAGCCAUCAGUGAGAUACCACUCUUGUAAUGUUAGAUUUCUAACUUUGAAUCAUUAUCUGGUCAAAGGACAGUUUCAGGCGGGCAGUUUGACUGGGGCGGUCGCCUCCUAAACGGUAACGGAGGCGUACAAAUGUUUCCUCUGAACGGGUAGAAAUCGUAUCUAGAGUGUAAAGGCAUAAGGAAGCUUGACUGUGAGACCUACAAGUCGAGCAGGGACGAAAGUCGGUCUUAGUGAUCUGACGGUACUGAGUGGAAAGGCCGUCACUCAACGGAUAAAAGUUACUCUAAGGAUAACAGGCUGAUCUCCCCCAAGAGUUCACAUCGACGGGGAGGUUUGGCACCUCGAUGUCGGCUCAUCGCAUCCUGGGGCGGUAGUACGUCCCAAGGGUUGGGCUGUUCGCCCAUGAAAGCGGUACGCGAGCUGGGUUCAGAACGUCGUGAGACAGUUCGGUCCAUAUCCGGUGUAGGCGUUAGAAUAUUGAGAGGAGCCUUCUUUAGUACGAGAGGACCGAGAAGGACAUACCUCUGGUGUACCAGUUAUCGUGCCAACGGUAAACGCUGGGUAGCUAUGUAUGGAGUGGAUAACCGCUGAAAGCAUCUAAGUGGGAAGCCCACCUCAAGAUAAGUAUUCU
rnacentral:rRNA from 1 species